CAGCAGUGGGGAAUAUUGGACAAUGGGCGAAAGCCUGAUCCAGCCAUGCCGCGUGUGUGAAGAAGGCCUUUUGGUUGUAAAGCACUUUAAGCGAGGAGGAGGCUACUUGGAUUAAUACUCUAGGAUAGUGGACGUUACUCGCAGAAUAAGCACCGGCUAACUCUGUGCCAGCAGCCGCGGUAAUACAGAGGGUGCGAGCGUUAAUCGGAUUUACUGGGCGUAAAGCGUGCGUAGGCGGCUUCUUAAGUCGGAUGUGAAAUCCCUGAGCUUAACUUAGGAAUUGCAUUCGAUACUGGAAAGCUAGAGUAUGGGAGAGGAUGGUAGAAUUCCAGGUGUAGCGGUGAAAUGCGUAGAGAUCUGGAGGAAUACCGAUGGCGAAGGCAGCCAUCUGGCCUAAUACUGACGCUGAGGUACGAAAGCAUGGGGAGCAAACAGGAUUAGA
rnacentral:rRNA from 1 species